GAUAAACGCUGGCGGCGUGCCUAACACAUGCAAGUCGAACGCUCUGCGUAAGCAGGGAGUGGCGGACGGGUGAGUAACACAUGGGAAUCGACCCACACGUGAGGAAUACCACCGGGAAACCGGUGACAAUACCGCAUACGCUUCCUCGGAAGCAAAGCUCUUUUCGGAGGGCGCGGGUGGACGAGCCUGUGUCUGAUUAGCUAGCUGGUGGGGUAAGAGCCUACCAGGGCGACGAUCAGUCGCUGGUCUGAGAGGAUGAUCAGCCACACUGGGAUUG
rnacentral:rRNA from 1 species